rnacentral:rRNA from 1 species
GACGAACGCUGGCGGCGUGCCUAAUACAUGCAAGUAGGACGCAGUUGUGAACGGGUGAGUAACGCGUAGGUAACUGCCUAUUAGAGGGGGAUAACUAUUGGAAACGAUAGCUAAUACCGCAUACUAGUAGAUUGACCUGCGUUGUAUUGGCUAGUAGGUAGGGUAAUGGCCUACCUAGGCAACGAUAAAUAGCCGCCCUGAGAGGGGGAUCGGCCAAACUGGGACUGAGACACGGCCCAGAAUCCUAAGGGAGGCAGCAGUAGGGAAUCGUCGGCAAUGGGGGGAACCCUGACCGAGCAACGGCGCGUGAGUGAAGAAGGUUUUCGGAUCGUAAAGCUCUGUUGUUAAGGAAGCGGUACUUAACCAGAAAGGGACGGCUAACUACGUGCCAGCAGCCGCGGUAAUUC